rnacentral:rRNA from 1 species
AGACGGAGGGUCCUAGCGUUGUUCGGAAUAACUGGGCGUAAAGGGUACGUAGGCGGUUUGGUCAGUUAGAUGUGAAAGCCCAGGGCUCAACCUUGGAACUGCAUUUAAUACUGCCAGACUUGAGAUCGGAAGAGGAAAGCGGAAUUCCUAGUGUAGAGGUGAAAUUCGUAGAUAUUAGGAGGAACAUCAGAGGCGAAGGCGGCUUUCUGGUCCGAUACUGACGCUGAGGUACGAAAGCGUGGGGAGCAAACAGGAUUAGAAACCCUAGUAGUCC